UGGGGAAUAUUGGACAAUGGGCGAAAGCCUGAUCCAGCCAUGUCGCGUGUGUGAAGAAGGUCUUCGGAUUGUAAAGCACUUUAAGUUGGGAGGAAGGGCAGUAAGCGAAUACCUUGCUGUUUUGACGUUACCGACAGAAUAAGCACCGGCUAACUCUGUGCCAGCAGCCGCGGUAAUACAGAGGGUGCAAGCGUUAAUCGGAAUUACUGGGCGUAAAGCGCGCGUAGGUGGUUCGUUAAGUUGAAUGUGAAAGCCCCGCGCUAAACCAGAGAACUGAAUCCAAAGCUGGCGAGCUAGAGAAAGGCAGAGGGUGGUGCGAUUUCCUAUGUAGCGGUAAAAUGCGUAGAUAUAGGAAGGAACACCAGUGGCGAAGGCGACCACCUGGGCUCAUACUGACUCUGAGGUGCGAAAGCGUGGGGAGCAAACAGG
rnacentral:rRNA from 1 species